ACCUUCGGGCCUCUUGCCAUCAGAUGUGCCCAGAUGGGAUUAGCUUGUUGGUGAGGUAACGGCUCACCAAGGCGACGAUCCCUAGCUGGUCUGAGAGGAUGACCAGCCACACUGGAACUGAGACACGGUCCAGACUCCUACGGGAGGCAGCAGUGGGGAAUAUUGCACAAUGGGCGCAAGCCUGAUGCAGCCAUGCCGCGUGUAUGAAGAAGGCCUUCGGGUUGUAAAGUACUUUCAGCGGGGAGGAAGGUGUUGUGGUUAAUAACCGCAGCAAUUGACGUUACCCGCAGAAGAAGCACCGGCUAACUCCGUGCCAGCAGCCGCGGUAAUACGGAGGGUGCAAGCGUUAAUCGGAAUUACUGGGCGUAAAGCGCACGCAGGCGGUCUGUCAAGUCGGAUGUGAAAUCCCCGGGCUCAACCUGGGAACUGCAUUCGAAACUGGCAGGCUUGAGUCUUGUAGAGGGGGGUAGAAUUCCAGGUGUAGCGGUGAAAUGCG
rnacentral:rRNA from 1 species